ACAGACUGGAUAUCCACGUCUUCAUCAAGGUACUCGCACGACUUCUUCUGGAAAGCCCAAGUGAAAUGGUAACAAUCGCAAAUGUCAAGCACCCUUCAAUCAGUGCACCUCGGUGGAUGUCAAUGGUCAAACGAGGUCCACGUCCUAUGUUCGGAAACACCGCAAUGAUGAGUCUACCCAAGUGAAAUAGUAACAAUCGCAAAUGUCAAGCACCCUUCAAUCAGUGCACCUCGGUGGAUGUCAAUGGUCAAACGAGGUCCACGCCCUAUGUUUGGAAAUGCCGCAAUGAUGAGCCUAACCCCAGUAAUUGAACCAAAGACCUGAGCAGGAAUUCUGGCACCAACAGUGAAGAGGAAAUUGGAGAGAUCCCCAGAGAUGGCACCGGAAAAGAUAGUG
rnacentral:lncRNA from 1 species